GAAGAACAAACUCCCCAUCAAUCGCACUCGCAGGGAAAUGGGAAAGCCCAAACCCAUGCAAAAGCCCACUCCCAAGAAGCGUAACCAACGGAAGGUCAAGGACGAAGACGAUACUUAAGACUCCUUCCUACCAACCGUUCAACCGUUCAAAAUUAUCUGUUACACAACACUUGACGUACACUUCCACACAUUUUACCUUUCUUCCAUUUUCGUCGGAGUUGGAAGGAACUGUUCCAAGCCAGUGAUGGUACCUCCCCACAUCCUCCACUUCCAUGAUGUGAGGAUGUGGGUGAAUGUGGAUGGCAUCACAAACACAUUGUUGCAGCUUCUUCUGCGUAAAAGAUAUACCUAUCCAUCCUUUCAAUCUAUUUUCAACGCAUAAUGAGGGCUUUAACUACACUUUGGACACUUUACUACACACUUGAUCUAUUUUCAACGCAUAAUGAGGGCUUUAACUACACUUUGGACACUCUACUACACAUUUGAUCUAUUUUCAACGCAUAAUGAGGGCUUUAACUACACUUUGGACACUCUACUACACAUGUGAAAACAUGAAUUUCAACGCCAAUGAAUAUUGGAAAAUAUUUGAUGGAACCGCCCCACAACUUUACGCAUAGAGAAUGUGUGGAGCAGGGGAUCGCAUCACUUUUCCGCUGACACUCGUAAAAGUUACCAGAAACUAGCAAUUCGCAUUGCUGGAUAAUAUUCUAGGGACUUAUGAUCGCAAUUAUCUUCAAUUAUAUAAUUAUC